AAAGAGAAACCACACUGAUUUCUUAAUAUCAAGCAAUUAAUUUUGUGUCCGGCAGGAAGGAAUGGUUCAGACAUAGAAUUAACCUGUCGUUAGGGAAGUGAAAGUAUAUCGAUUGGUUUCAAUUGUGUGUUUUUCAAUGUAACUUCGAUUUGGAAUCAACUUAUCAGGAAUAAAAUGCUUUUUGGAUAAGACUGGAAGGCAUAACAGCAAUCAUCGCAACUUCUCGGUGACGCAAGUGCUUUUUAGAACAAAUGUGCAAGGUUGUAAUGUAUCAGUGGCUUCAAGUGGUAAUUGAUGAUGCUGACUUAAUCCAAUUUACUAUGCUGUGCAUGAUUCAUUAGUUUGUUAACAUAAUUUUGUAGUUUUUUCAAGAAGAGCCGGAGAGACAUUUCCUAUCAUCACUGGAGUGCUGAGCAGUAAGCUUUCCAAUGGGAGAAGGAUUUAACCGCUAACUCAGGAAAUUGUUUGAAGUGGGAUUGCGGAAUCUCAUUUUGGGUAUUAUUUCGUGACAAUGAAUGUGCAGCUGGGAACUAUCUGUAUUGAGACCAUUCCGUCUGGUUCUUCAAGAGGAUUUCAAUGAACAAUCUGUAUAGAAUUGUUGACGAGAGAAGGGAUUUGGGAACAGUACACGAAGAUACCCUUGCGAACUUAGUAAACUGUAUCGGAUAGAUUACUGCAGAUAGCAGAGAUACCACCAGGUGGGUUCCACACAGAAAGAGAGAUUGGAAAAAUAGGAAUGAGGAUGGUCAAUAGCCAAAUUUACUGCGGCCAAUGAGUUUUCCAGAUUUAGGAGCAAUUCCAACAGAUCCUCGCGUUGUGAGUGAAAUGAACUGGAUAUCGAAUGAUAUGAAUACUGAGGAAUAGUCAUAUCAGCUUGAAGAUUAGUUUUUGUGUUGGUAGCAAGCAUAAACAACCUCCAGACACCGAAUUUGCCCCAGAAUGGAUUAACAGUUGUUUUAGUAGAAUCAACGACGAACUGCUAAGGUCCUACUGAAAUUCAGGGAAUACUUCUGGACACAAUGCACUCGGUACUUCAAUUGGGCACUAACUCAAUAUAUGACAAUUCGGAGUAAUUUACGGGGAGAUUCUAGCGAACACAAAAAAAUGGGAGAAAUAAUGUAUCAAGCAGCAGAACUGGAGGUGAAAAUGUUUCCAAAUGGGACAAUAAUCAACAUGACACGAAAGAGUAAUAUUACACUCUUUGAAGAUGUGCCAGAUUCAGAGCCGGACUUUUUUGCUCAUCCUAUCAUGGUCAUACGGCUUGUGCUCUGUACACUGUCCAUUCUCCUGAAUUCACUUUCUUUAUUUGUGGUGGCCAAUAUCAACGGGACGUACACGACGCAUCUCCGCCUUAUUAUGAGUUUGUGCAUAUCGGACACAUUAGUUAGCAUUGGGACUCUCGCCAAUAUGAUCAUGGAGUCUCACUUCUACAACGUGUGUUUCGAACGUGUCCUUAAUGCCACCAGCAGUACUGCCUUCGUAGUUUCCUUACUGAAUCUUAUGUGUAU